CCAUUAUAACUGUAAUUGUCAAAGUAUCUAGAUGUUACUGAUUGAAGCGCCAAAUUCAAACUGGUCCUGGCGGGUCUUGCACUGCAAUGUCUCGUCCCUUGUGUGGCGUAAUGUGAAAUCAUUGAAAAGCUUGUGUGAAUUGAAGGCUUGGCUUAAUACUGUGUUAUAUCUCAGCUUAUCAUUAUUAAGUAUUUACCAUUUGACGUUAAAAAACAACAAUACUCCACAGAGAUAUCCAAGUAUAACAGAGGCUUCCAUACUGUAGCUAAUGAUCAACAGAGAAUUACCAGCCUUUCUCUGUGUGUCAAGGAGAGCCCUUAGGGAAACGUUCGUGUGCGUGUGUGUGUGUGUGUGUGUGUGUGGUAUGGAAAGAUAUAAUUGCUUAAAAAAUAAGUACAGCCUCUCUCUCUCUCUCUCUCUCUCUCUCUCUCUCUCUCUCUCUCUCUCUCUCUCUCUCUCUCUCUCUCUCUCUCUCUCUCUCUCUCUCUCUCUCUACGUAUUUUGCCUGUCUGCCCUCGUGUGUGUGUGUGUGUGUGUGUGUGUGUGUGUGUAUCUCAUUUAUUUAUUUAAGUUAUUUUUCUUCUUCACGCAGAUAGUAAUUGACGAACACAACACACCACGUGGAGAGAAGCAAGGUGUGGAGUACCCAAGCCUCUCACAGUCCAUGCUAGUAGACUCACCCUGCAUGUGGAGAUCUCCCAAAAUGCACGGAGGUUAUUCCAGAGCUGCAGGACAGAGUACUUGAGGCCAUUGGUGAACAGAAAGCUGAGGUUGAACAAAGCCAAGAAUUGAUAGCUGCCCAAGGUGUAAGCAAGAUUCACAAUGAUGAGGUCAUUGUGACGUGUGCAAUGUGUCCACUGGUCUUGGCCUUCCUGACCAAGGCAGCCACACAAAGGAAAUUCCACGUUAUUGUUGCCGAACGUGCCCCUAAAUAUGAUGUAAGGUGUUUUAUGCGUCUCUUUCACGUCAUCGUGUCUGAUGUGCACAAUACAUAACACAGGGACUGCCACAUGUAGGGGUGAUGGCUUCUUGCAGCUUCCUUUAUUUUAUUACGUUCUUAUGUUCUCAAUACAUCUUUUACUUGUGCAGGGUCACCCAGUGGCAAAAGCUUUAUGUACUGCUGGAAUUGAGACAACAUUAAUUCAAGACUCUGCAGUGUUCCCCAUCAUGUCACGUGUCAACAAGGUCAUCAAAGGUCAUCGUUGGCACCGAGACGGUGGUGACCAACGGAGGCAUUGAGACCUUUGUUGGUGCAGCCUCUCUUGCCUCACCACCAAAGUUUUAUUCUGUUCCACUGUAUGUGUGCACUCCCACAUACAAAUUUAGCUUGAUGGGCUGUGAUGAAAUAAGCCACCAAACCACCACUUCUAUUAUCCCAGAGGGAACAAAGUUUUGGCCGUCUGUAAAUACUGCGCUGACUCAGCUAGAUUACGUUCCUCCAGAAAAUGUCACCAGUUUGAUAACUAACAAUCGAGGUACCGCACCAUCCUACGUGUACCGGCAGCUUAGCGAACUGUACCGUCCCACUUCUUGUGAUCUCUAAGAUAACAGCUUUAAUCCUUGCAAAUAAGGAAUAAGAGAAAAGAGACACACCUGCCAUUUGUAUUGUUAUGCUGUAGUGUUCUGUCAUUUUUUUCCUCUUUUAUCCUAGAACCAUUUUUGGUCAUUCAUGUUUAUAAAAAUUAUUAUACAAAAAUGUUGAGCUUAAUAUGUUUGGUGUAGUUUUUUGUAACAUGUGUUAUUGUUAAUGUGUGUGGUUCCCCUCAGGAAGAAUGUUGCAGUAUUAGCAGUAAUGUUACAGCCAAUGGAAGUGUCUGUAUUGUGCUUUGGUGGGAGGUUAAUUUGAUGUAUUUUUAGAGUUGUGCAGGAUAUAGCAAGCCCUCAAAAUAAAGAAAAUAACUAUAGAAAA